rnacentral:RNase_P_RNA from 1 species
CCAGUCGGCUGGACGGCCGCGCGUGUGCAAACACGCGAGGAAAGUCCGGGCUCCACGCGGAUACGGCGGCGGGUAACGCCCGCCGGAAGCAAUUCUAGGGAUAGCGCCACAGAGAACAGACCGCCCCUGAGACGCCGCGCAAGCGGCACGAUCCGGGGUAAGGGUGAAACGGUGGUGUAAGAGACCACCGCGCCGACCGUAAGGAAGGCGGCACGGCAAGCCCCGCCGGGAGCAAGACCGAAUAGGGACACACGAAGCGCAAGCUUCACGCGCGUCCGCGCGUCGUGUCCGGGUUGGUCGCGAGAACCAUGCGGCGACG